UUUUUUUUUUGAUUUUAUUUCCCCGAUUAUUUCGUUGUUCGACCGGUGAUUAAAUUUAAUUAAUAUCGUUCUUGGAGAGAAGUCCUUCGUCGAGAGUGUUAUGUAAAUUCAAUUGGAUUUAAAAUUUAGAUGCGGAACGUUGAAAAAGUUUCGGUUCGAGAAUUUCAUAACCUAAAAAUUGCGAUCGAUGCGGGUGAAGAUUCUACGCAAUUUGAAGUCUGUUAAAUUUUUUUUUUUUUUGAGCAAAUAUAUAUAUCAUCAAGUUUUGUACACACGCAAGAAAACAUUAUUUCCCGAAGAUUUUUACAUAGGAAACUUUCAUAACUUCUUUCUCUCGUCACGCGAAAUGAAUGCAAUUAGUUCUCUUUAACUCAUAAAUAGUAGCCUGAUUACCGAUCGUUUCCAUAAUAAAUAAGCCUCGAUGUUUCAUUUAUAAUUUUCACAAGAUAAUCUUCUUCUUAUAUUUAAAACUUCUUUUCCUGCUAUCAUUUUUUUUUUGACGAGCAAAAUUUCCAUUAAAUUCCUAUUAAUAAAACGCGAAGCGAUAACAAACGACACAGCGUGAAAAACAAUCGUCACUUAUUUAUAUCGUGAUGGUAAUUAUGCAAACGCUGGACUCCCUCCUCCCGCCGCUCUAAAUUUAACGUGCAAUGUAUCGUGGAAUAUUGAACAACACCGAUAAAACGUUAAAUUCGAUCGAACUUCUCUCCUCUCCCCAAUCUCGGCCCAUAAAAUAUCAAUUUUGUCGAUUAAUCGUUUCGAAGCUGGAAACAUAAUUUGGGAGAAAAAAGAAGAAGAAAAAAUACAGGUACGCGUUCGACCGCGCCCAAGAAUCGCGCGAGACGAGGAGAAACGAGACGAGGCACGCCGAUCACGCGUUCAAAGGGUGGGCGAGGCAGGUCAGGCGCUAAUUGCGUUACGGGAACGAGCGUUAAUGAGCUGCUGCGUUUCGGUUCGUGGCUGCGUCGGUAAGGGUAAUCGUGCCGCGACGUUCUUGGACCAGUUCAAUCUGUCCGCGCGUUCCCCGCUUGCCAACGAACCAAAUAACCCGGCCUUAACCUUGCGGCAAGCCGAGGUACUUUGCUCUUACUUACCAGUCUGCCGAAUCGAACCAGUUGUGCAACGAGAAACGAGGGUCUCGUUUCAUCGAUCGAAGAUUUAUUGAUCGAACGAGGAACGGUCGAAAAUGAACUGGUUGAGACUGAACGGCCGAAGAGAUCAACAAAAAGAAAGAAAAAAGGAGAGAAGAGCGAAUAGAGAAGAAGAGCAAGAAUAGAAUCGCGGUUUUCUCAGUCGAUAAGAGGAGGGUGAACCAGUCUGGCGCGGUUUCCCUUCUCCGUUUCUCAUCCACAAGCGUGAGAGAAAAAGAAGAAGAAAAAAGCAAGAUCGAAAGGAGAGGAUGAAAAUUGUAAAGGACGCGCGAUCGAGUUCGUGAAAGGCAGGAUACGCGUGUAAAUGGAGCGCGUUGCGGCGAUAAUGUCGACCCCCCCUUCCCUUCCCUUCUCCCCACCACGCCGAGGAUCCGCUCGAAGAACUCGAGCGUCGGACGAAGAUAAGCGUGAAAGCGCAGGUCUCGACGUCGAUUAACCCAACCACCGCGGAAACCGAGUAUUAAAAUAAUUCUGUAAUUGGAGAUUGCAACUUGUUGCACGCACACGUCGCUUCUUCUUCCCUGCAUUUUCUUUUUGCCUUUUUGACGCUCCCUCCCUCGCUCUCUCGCAAUUAGUACGAAACAGUUUCGUUUUCUUUUUUUUUUUACCUCGCGCGAGACAACUAAUCGCGUUCACUUAACUCACACUCGUUUAAUAUUGAGCAUCUUCUCAAGAGAGCACGGUGAAUAGUUUAUUCAAGAUGAUAAAUAAUAAUUUUUCUUCGCUUGAGAUACAAUCACUUGAGAUUAAAUAUUUGAGAUUAAAAAAUAUUUUUUUUUAAUUGAACCUGCCUUGUGAGUUUAAGAUAAAAGUAAGAUAAAAGUAAGAUGUAUUUAUAUGGAAUCAUCGGAGAAGGGGAAAGAUGUGUUCUUCCUUGGCCAGGCGGUAAUAUCGAUCGGGGCGCCAACUCGUAAAAGACGGAAAGCAGCGCGAAACAAAACGAAAGGAAAGGAAAGAAAAGGAAAGAGAGCGAGCGAGCGAGCCGCAGGUAACUCUAGACAGAGAGGGAAACCCGAGGGAAAACGGCAGUUACGAAGGGAGACGCCAAUGGAUGUGGCUGGUAACUCAACUCUGCCGCGGAUCUAAGCUUUCCAACACGAGGAUCGUCUUACCGGAUCCGUGAGGAUUACGCAAAAGUGUGGCCAACCGGCUUUAACGACACUUUACAAGCGAAUUAUUAAGUUCCAUGGCGACGGAUAAACUGGAUGAAUCUUGGAUGAUUUUUGGAACGAUUUCUAUCUCAUCGAAGAAAUUUAUUGAUAAAUCGAGUAAAUUUUUAACGCGAAAUAAAAAUAUUUUUAGGCGUUUUCAAGCGAAUGCCAACUAUCUUUUCCAUCGUUUGAAAUAAUUUAAAAAAUUAUUAAUAAAAAUUUGAAAUUAUUAUUUAUCGUGCGAGAUAAGAUGGUAGAUUUGCGAACUUUUAAUAAAUAUCAUCUUCAACGAGGUAAGAAUUGGAAUAUUUUGGAAAUUUUUGCGAAAUGAUUUUCGAUACAUUUUUGAUUAAAAAAAAAAAAUAACCACGUCGAAGCAUCCUAUUUAUUCGCUCAAUUAUCGAUUAUAUAUUUUUUUCUGUUUUCAAAAGAUGGAUAUAUUUAUUAUUCUAUAAAUAUUUUAAAUGAUUUUUGGAGAGUCAUUCGUUUAUAAUUACAUCAUAUGCAAACUUUCGCUUGUCGGAAUAUUUCAUUUUUAUCAUCAAAAUUUCCCAAUAUUUAUUUUUGGCAAAUGAAAAAAAAAACGAGUUUUACGAUCGUUCGAGAAACGAAAAUUUCGUAAAAAUGCCAAUCAAUGUGACUCAUAAACUAAAUAUAGCCAUACAAAUUUUUACGAUCCCACCUUUUUUCUGUGAAUGAUACAAUGAUACGUAAAACAGAAGUUCAAACCUCUAAAAAAAAAUUAAUUAAUUAACACGCUGGUAAUGCGAUGGCUCCUCUCCUUGACCGAAAAAGGAAUGAUUGUGUUUUCUUAACAACUUCAUCGGCGACUCGAAUCUUCGAUCAACCCUUGAGAACCGUAAAAGUCGACCUUUUGGAGAAUGAGCGGUAUAAAUGUGUCAUUUAGAUUAAAAUUUAUUGUUUUGUAGAAUAAAUAUAAAUUUUAAAUAAAAAAAUAAA